rnacentral:rRNA from 1 species
GAUGAACGCUGGCGGCGUGCCUAACACAUGCAAGUCGAGCGAACAGACGAGGAGCUUGCUCCUCUGACGUUAGCGGCGGACGGGUGAGUAACACGUGGAUAACCUACCUAUAAGACUGGGAUAACUUCGGGAAACCGGAGCUAAUACCGGAUAAUAUAUUGAACCGCAUGGUUCAAUAGUGAAAGACGGUUUUGCUGUCACUUUUAGAUGGAUCCGCGCCGCAUUAGCUAGUUGGUAAGGUAACGGCUUACCAAGGCAACGAUGCGUAGCCGACCUGAGAGGGUGAUCGGCCACACUGGAACUGAGACACGGUCCAGACUCCUACGGGAGGCAGCAGUAGGGAAUCUUCCGCAAUGGGCGAAAGCCUGACGGAGCAACGCCGCGUGAGUGAUGAAGGUCUUCGGAUCGUAAAACUCUGUUAUUAGGGAAGAACAAAUGUGUAAGUAACUAUGCACGUCUUGACGGUACCUAAACAGAAAGCCACGGCUAACUACGUG